GGGUCAUUGGUUGCUGCUAGAUUUUCAGAUUCAUCGCUGAAGAUUUGGGAUAUGGCAAAGCUUGGGCAACAGGCUGUUGGUUCUGUUUUGCAGGGUGACGAUGAUGCAAAUCCAAAUGAGUUUGGUUCAAAUGGAGGAAAAAGACCCUAUACCUUAUUUCAGGGGCACUCAGGACUAGUUUAUUCAGCUUCUUUUAGUCCUAUGGGAGAUUUUAUACUUUCCU